rnacentral:rRNA from 1 species
ACGUAGGUGGCAAGCGUUGUCCGGAUUUAUUGGGUUUAAAGGGUGCGUAGGCGGUUUUAUAAGUCAGUGGUGAAAUACAACAGCUUAACUGUUGAGGUGCCAUUGAUACUGUAAGACUUGAGUACAGACGAGGUAGGCGGAAUUGACGGUGUAGCGGUGAAAUGCUUAGAUAUCGUCAAGAACACCGAUAGCGAAGGCAGCUUACUAGACUGUAACUGACGCUGAGGCACGAAAGUGUGGGGAUCAAACAGGAUUAGAUACCCUGGUAGUCCACACUGUAAACGAUGAUUACUCGAUGUUGGCGAUACACAGCCAGCGUCUUAGCGAAAGCGAUAAGUAAUCCACCUGGGGAGUACGCCCGCAAGGGUG